GUGGGGAAUAUUGCGCAAUGGGCGAAAGCCUGACGCAGCCAUGCCGCGUGGAUGAUGAAGGUCUUAGGAUUGUAAAAUCCUUUCACCGGUGAAGAUAAUGACUGUAGCCGGAGAAGAAGCCCCGGCUAACUUCGUGCCAGCAGCCGCGGUAAUACGAAGGGGGCUAGCGUUGCUCGGAUUUACUGGGCGUAAAGGGCGCGUAGGCGGACAUUUAAGUCAGGGGUGAAAUCCCGGGGCUCAACCUCGGAACUGCCUUUGAUACUGGGUGUCUUGAGUAUGAGAGAGGUGUGUGGAACUCCGAGUGUAGAGGUGAAAUUCGUAGAUAUUCGGAAGAACACCAGUGGCGAAGGCGACACACUGGCUCAUUACUGACGCUGAGGCGCGAAAGCGUGGGGAGCAAACAGGAUUAGAUACCCUAGUAGUCC
rnacentral:rRNA from 1 species